ensembl:snoRNA
GCAGACUCACUCUGCACUUGGCUGCAGCCUCCAGGCAGGUGCUUUUUCCGUCUGCCAGAGAACCUUUCCAGGGAGCUGUGGCAACCUUGAUCUUUUGGGGGUGAUGCAGCUUUCUGGGCACAUAGAA